GCCAACACACCCUCCCUCCCUGGGAAUAAAAGGGAGUCCUUUAGCCUCCUGCAGAGGUUGUGGGGGCUUGCUGUGUGUCAGAGCCUGGUAGCAGUGCUGUGGGCUGGAGUUGUGACAGCUUCCAGUGGAGAUGGGAUGGAUGGAGGAGAGGGUGAGAGGUGCCUCCUCCCAAGGCAGCAGCUGGUGAGAAGGAGCCUGGGCUGCUCAGUGUCAGCACACACGUGGGCCUGGGGAAGCGUGAGCCCAGCUCCAGGCCUUGUCAGUGGCACCUCGUUGACUUUUAGCGCUUCCUUAUCGUGUCCGUGCUCACCUCGCGCCGCGCCGAUAAAAUGCCGCAGCCGGCCGGGGAUCUGUGAGCAGCAAACCCUGCAAAAACCCUGCAGAGCAUGGGAGAAAACCUCAGAGCAUGGGAGCCUGAGCUGCCAGAGACCAGCCAGGGCUCCAGGGCACAGCCAGGUGAGCAGCUUGCAGUGAUACUCUUGGGAGAAUCCUCUUGAUGGUUUGAACUGAGGCUCCCUGAACAUAAAACCCUGAGCUUCUACUGAGCAGGUCUAAUACUCCUGAGACAUGCUUUUGUGGGGA